GAUGAACGCUGGCGGCGUGCCUAAUACAUGCAAGUCGAGCGAAUGGAUUAAGAGCUUGCUCUUAUGAAGUUAGCGGCGGACGGGUGAGUAACACGUGGGUAACCUGCCCAUAAGACUGGGAUAACUCCGGGAAACCGGGGCUAAUACCGGAUAACAUUUUGAACCGCAUGGUUCGAAAUUGAAAGGCGGCUUCGGCUGUCACUUAUGGAUGGACCCGCGUCGCAUUAGCUAGUUGGUGAGGUAACGGCUCACCAAGGCAACGAUGCGUAGCCGACCUGAGAGGGGGAUCGGCCACACUGGGACUGAGACACGGCCCAGACUCCUACGGGAGGCAGCAGUAGGGAAUCUUCCGCAAUGGACGAAAGUCUGACGGAGCAACGCCGCGUGAGUGACGAAGGCUUUCGGGUCGUAAAACUCUGUUGUUAGGGAAGAGCAAGUGCUAGUUGAAUAAGCUGGCACCUUGACGGUACCUAACCAGAAAGCCACGGCUAACUACGUGCCAGCAGCCGCCGUAA
rnacentral:rRNA from 1 species